GAAUUUUCCGCAAUGGGCCCAAGCCUGACGGAGCGACGCCGCGUGGAGGAUGACGCCCUUCGGGGUGUAAACUCCUUUUCGGGGGGACGAAGGCAGUGACGGUACCCCCGGAAGAAGCACCGGCUAACUACGUGCCAGCAGCCGCGGUAAGACGUAGGGUGCGAGCGUUGUCCGGAGUUACUGGGCGUAAAGGGCGCGUAGGCGGCUGCCCGCGUCGCACGUGAAAGCCCCCGGCUCAACCGGGGAGGGUCGUGCGAGACGGGGUAGCUGGAGGCAGGGAGAGGCUGGUGGAAUUCCCGGUGUAGCGGUGAAAUGCGUAGAGAUCGGGAGGAACACCGGUGGCGAAGGCGGCCAGCUGGCCCUGACCUGACGCUGAGGCGCGAAGGCGCGGGGAGCGAACGG
rnacentral:rRNA from 1 species